UGAUUGUUUCAUUAAAUCCAUAAACAACACACUCAGUUAGCCCUAUUAUUUUUAUUUUUAAUGUUGCCUAUGGACGGGCAACAUAUUCAGUACUUUUAAAUGACCAUACAAAACAUAUCAAACAAACAUGAUUGACAAGCUGAAUUCAAAAUAAUCAAAAGGUGAUGAAGGUCCUGUCCAUGUGAGCUUACAGUCUAAAGCAGUGGCGAAUCCAGAGCCUGAUC